GUGCUAGUUACAGUAGCACAUACACCAAAAGUAGAACCAUACAGAGAAUAUUUACAGGGCACCUACAUAAGAAUGAUAUGAACACUCAUAAAAUGUUCCAUAUUAUU
ensembl:snRNA U6 U6 spliceosomal RNA